AUUGAACGCUAGCGGCAGGCUUAACACAUGCAAGUCGAGGGGCAGCAUAGAUUGUAGCAAUACAAUUGGUGGCGACCGGCGCACGGGUGCGUAACGCGUAUGCAACCUACCCGUCACAGGGGGAUAAUCCGGAGAAAUCUGGUCUAAUACCCCAUAACAUAUGGAUCGGCAUCGGUUCAUGUUGAAAUUUUCGGAGGUGACGGAUGGGCAUGCGUAGCAUUAGCUUGUUGGUGAGGUAACGGCUCACCAAGGCGACGAUGCUUAGGGGGACUGAGAGGUUUUCCCCCCACACUGGUACUGAGACACGGACCAGACUCCUACGGGAGGCAGCAGUGAGGAAUAUUGGUCAAUGGGCGCAAGCCUGAACCAGCCAUGCCGCGUGCAGGAUGACGGCUCUAUGAGUUGUAAACUGCUUUUGUACGAGGGUAAAGUGGGUUACGUGUAACCUAUUGAAAGUAUCGUACGAAUAAGGAUCGGCUAACUCCGUGCCAGCCGCCGCAGUAA
rnacentral:rRNA from 1 species